rnacentral:rRNA from 1 species
GCCUUUGCAGCUGGAAACAGUAGGUUGCGCGACUAUAAACAACCCAACCCUCAUGCAAGUCAGCGCUCAGCUGGCGACACUUUCGAAUUGACGGGGACACCCUAAAGCCCUUUGCACCAACCCAGCCCGGGAAACCGGCUGGGGGCCCGUGGGAAACUACGGGGUACGGUAACAGACGAAGGGAUGAUCUGGCGGCCCGCGCCGCUGGUGAAAUGGGCAAUCCGCAGCGAAGCCCCUACCGUCUCGGCCCUGCGCCGAACCACGGGGAACGUUCACAGACUAAGUGGAAGUGGGUGGGCAGCCCGUGGGCUGUCUGCUUAAGAUAUAGUCGGGCUCCUUGGGAAACCUUGGGGAUCUUCGAGUUGGUGAGAAGGUUAGAAAGACGUAUGCAGAAGUUCGCUUGAUCUAGAAAGGGGCAAUCGAGAGUGACUGCCGUUGUAUAGAAGCUGACUAUCUCCUACAUUCUUUCCACUCUCCACCGCCUUUUUUGCACGAGAUAGUUGCAAUAUCAUUUGCAACUGCUCUCAAGCAGUCGGAGAAGUAACUGUUCCGUAGGUGAACCUGCGGAAGGAUCAUUA